GGGGUUGUAGCUCAGUGGUAGAGUGCUUGCCUAGCACGCAUGAGGCACUGGGUUUGAUCCUCAGCACCACA
rnacentral:tRNA from 1 species